GGCGUGUUUCCCGAACGACGACAGGUACAUGUACUUGUCUAAAACAACAUCUAAUUAAGCGGGGCGGUUAAGGGGCCUUCCAAGGGGGAAACACGUAGAGUUGACCUGCAUUUACCAUGAUUACGCAAGGUGUAAUAAAACAGGUAAAUACAUUCACUUUCAUAAAAUUUCUUGCGACGUAAAUUGUAGUGUUCAAUCACCAAGCAUAAUUGGAUGUUGAUUUAGGCAGGUAGUCGUUCGGGAUUAAGCCCUGGAAAAAUUACGUGAAGUGGAAUAAUAUAUCUAUACAUCUGAUAGUGCUGUGUAAGAGUGUAGUCGUGUGUACGACUCUCCCCCAUACGUGUAUGUGAAUCAACGUGUUUACCCAUGUCCAGAAUGUUGGAGGAAAGAUAAACUGCAUUGGGAACGGACAUUAGGACGUGUUUCGUGAAGGACUUGCUGUUAAUUGAGAGUGUUGACCUUGCUAAAGUACUUCAACACACUACGUGUAUCUAGGGGUGCCGGAUAUUGGAUACAUGCGUCUGUCUUGAAUUACAGAAGGGCGCAGAGUUACCUGUAUUUAUGCAGUAUGGAUAGAUGUGAACAGGUGUUGUGACUUACAGAUCCCACGAUGGAAAUGGUCAAGCUCGUGUAUGUGAAGAUCGAAGUUCAAUGAGAGAGAGAGAGUGAUUGGAUCCGAUGCAUAGUACUUUCCGAAUCCCAGGAGCUGCACUAAGGCCAGUCUGCUGGACUCCCAACUGCUUCUGAGGAACGCCGUGAUCAUUCGACCAUAUACCAAAUUAACUGGGUGUUGAGAUUUAUACGUCUUAUAACAUUAUUGGUGAUAAACAGAAGUAUGAAGAUCUAUGGUGAAGACCGGGAGUUUGGGGCCACUUUCUUUCACUGUACUAUAUAGGUAUCUAAGUUAUUAUUCAACAAUACCUUGGAAUGCCAUUAUAUAGAAGUGGGACAGGAAAGAAGGCAAACUCCAUCCAUCCUUAAGAAAGCAAACGCCAUCCUGACUUUCCUCGGCAGGAACAUUAACCGAUGUCCAACGGAUAUCAAGGCCCAAUGUUACUCCACCCUAGUACAACCAGUACACCUUUAAUUAGCGGAGCCCAGCAACUAAUCAGAGCAAUAAAAAAUUUCAACCGGAGACUUCCAGCGCACAACACGCAACAGCAACUCCAGUGACAAACAUUACGGUACCGACGAGAGACAAUAAUAUAAUGCUAAAUACCUAGGAUCGUAUACAAUCCUGUGAACUACCCUCUACAGCGCACUUCACUGCGGACCAUAGGUGACAUCACACGUUUCCUAUAGUGCCCCAUGGCAAGAACCAGGAUUCGUUCUUCCCUCAAUCCAUCAGUUAUGGAACCCGUUAUCAGAAGAGAUUACAUAAACAUGUUACAAAGGACUGGCAAGCGCUGAUUGACAUGUAGGAGGAUGUCUAGAACAAUCGCAGACAAAAAGGAAUGUAAUGUCCUGUGACUCCAACAGGGUCGACAUAUCUGUGUUCUAACUUGUCAUAUUUAGAUAGGGAGGGGCCCCUGCCUAUGAUCACCCUCUUGACGCAGUCUAUGCACAUGUGUUAUAGUCAAAUAUUAAAAUGUUUUACGUACAUUAUAUGCAAAACAAAAUGCAUUGAUGAUUGUUUUGUAUAAACGAGAUCGAAAAUGUUGGCAAUAUAAAUUUAUCAUAUCACAAAAGAAAAUUUAAUAUUACAAAUACACGUGCGUUGUAUCAAACACAUCACUAUUCAGAGGGAAAUACACCUUGUUUUAAAAAUGUUUUUUCAUGAAAUUCAAUAUGUUUUUUUCCCGCUCAUUAAAAAUAUUAAAUCAUUUUUUUGAUUUUAUUGUAUUAUCUAAAAAAAAAUCAUACGUAGUUCGCUUUUUGUGAAAUUGUGACUUUUUGAAAAUUUGUUAUUGUACAAUGUCUUUAGAAUUAGCAAGUUUUGACAUAUUUACUUGAUAUUUGUUGUCAUACACUUUUUUCAAAUGCAUAUUUCACCUGUUAUUCAGUCUUGCUGCUGUUCGAUUUGAAACAUGUAGCUAAAUAAAAUAAAAUCAUGUACAUCUUUUUGCAUUA